UACGGAGGGUGCAAGCGUUACUCGAAGUUACUGGGCGUAAAGCGCACGCAGGUGGCUGAGUCAGUCGAUUGUGAAAGCCCUGGGCUUAACCUGGGAAUUGCAGUCGAUACUACUCAGCUAGAGUAUGGGAGAGGGUAGUGGAAUUCCCGGUGUAGCGGUGAAAUGCGUAGAUAUGCGGAGGAACACCGAUGGCGAAGGCAAUCCCCUGGGCCUGCACUGACGCUCAUGCACGAAAGCGUGGGGAGCAAACAGG
rnacentral:rRNA from 1 species